GGAGACCAUAGGUUAACACAUAUUUGUUCCUUAAACAGAUAUUGACAGUGUUUCUAUAAUACUCCAGACAUUGUGUUAUGUGCUGGAGACACAACAGAGAACUUGACAGACAGUGCCAUAUCACAGAAGCUGACACUUAGAGAGCUUCUACUGAAUGAGGGCUGAACCCAGGGCACUGUGACUGUCAUGGUCUACGAGCUGCAGAUAGACUCUCGGG
rnacentral:lncRNA from 1 species